AAUAAGCAAACACGGUUUAUUGUGAAUUUCAGACUAAGUUGAUAACAUUAAAAUAUUAUGUACACCAAGGUUUUCUUAAAUGCUUUUAUUUAGCAAAAAUUAUAAUUGGUUUUGAAAUACAUUAGACAUCCCACUUAUUGAGGACGAGAGGGGUUAUUCCAAAACAUUCUGUAAUAGUCAUAAACUGAUUUUAUCUGUCAGAGCAAAAAGUGAAACAGGGAAAAAUCCACCCAAAAAGGUCUUUCUAUAGUGGAAAUUAUACAGCUUGAUUUCUUAGACACUAAGGCAAUUCACACACGCACACACACAAUUAUUUCAAAACAUUCCAUUUUUAAGACUAAAUUUUACACAACACACUGUGACUGGGAAUGGGUUACUCAAAUACAAUAGUUGUCUUUAUUGAUUUUUAGCAAGGGAACUGGACUUCACAUUAUUCAUUGAUGGCUUAUAAAUUUAACUUUGUACAGUUGUAGGAGAAAUGUGUCCUGUCUAGCCCCCUCUGCCCAAAGCAAAUGUCAUCUCCCCUGAGUGCCACAGUUGUAAAAUAUGUCU